rnacentral:lncRNA from 1 species
AUCAGCUUCCAUGGCCUGCAUAUUCCUCGAUCGUUGCUGCAACGAAAACCUGACCAAUUCUCGUAAAGAAGCAAUUUCCUUCUUUGAUCUAAUAACUAUAAGUUUGAGAUCCAAACAAGAAGAGAACCAAUGCAAGAACCAUCAUGAAACAGGGAAUCCCAAAUCCAAGAAAUCAGCUCAUGUAAUCUUCUGCCUUCGCUCUCCUCAGGGUCUUCCCCAUCAAAUAUAUUGGCUCCAAAUGCCUGGAUACAAGGCCUGCGCCCACGUUGUCCAACAGCUACUAUAUAUAUAUAUUGAAAGCAAGAACAAGGCUUCUUUGAAAUUGAGAGAAUGAAGGAUAGCAGACAGAAUCAACAAGGCAAGUCCCUGCCAACAAUCCAAGGGAAAAUUACUGGCAUUCAAAUUUAAUUGUAAGGUAAGAAAACAAAAAUCAACAUUCUAAAUCUUUUGCUAAGUUAUCACAACUAAGCUAUAUAAGAAUCACACACACACACACAACUAAGCUAUAUAAGAAUCAUUAAAUAACUAAUAUAACUAACAACUAAGUUUAAUGAUUCUCAUGUAGCCUAGUUAUUAGUGAUUAUAUUUUGUAAGUAAUCAUUUGGUAACACGUAAAACUCAUUUUAUUCUUUUAAAAUAUAAUUAUUAUUAAUAAAAGUUUUCUUUAUUUUUAAUAUUUAUUUAUAUUUGAUUAAUAAAUAUAAUGUUUAAUUAAUUAAUAUAGAGUAAAGAUAAAGUCAAUGAGACAAAAAAAUAUUUUGCAAAGUAAAUUAUAAAGUUGUUAUAAUUAUGAGAUUCAUGUUGUUUCAAAGCAUUGUUCCUAAAUAUUCCUGAUCAAUGUUCUAUUAAAAAGAAACAUUAAUUAGAGGUAUAAUACUAUCAUUCAUAUCAAGUGUUGCAACAAAGAGCGAUGUUUUAAUUAGUGAUUACUGAAAAAAAUAUCAUGUAUUAAUUUCUUUUCUUAUCUUUAUGAAAGAAAACAAAUCAUUGUCUACAGUGUGAAAUCAUGAAUUGCCUUUGAAUCUUGUUUAUCAUAAAAAGUAGUGUAGUACUUUUCAUGGAUGCCAAAAAUAUCAUACAUUGAAAUGCACAUCACAACAAAAGUGAUUACUUCCAUGCAUUAUGAACAAAUUAUUAGUAAAUAUGUCAUGCAAUCAAUCGGUUAAUUAUACGUAGCAUUGAUUUUAUUCAUGUAAAAUAUAUUUAUUAUUAAUAAGGUUUUCUAUCUUUAAUAUUCAAUUAUAUUUGAUUAAUGAGUUUAUUAUUUGAUUAAUGAAUCUAGAGUAAAGAUAAAGUUCAUGGAACAAUAAUGUUUUGCAUAUAAAAUUAUAAAGUUGUUAUAAUUAUGAGAUUCAUAAUUCAUCAAAGUAUUGUUUCUAAAUGUUCCUUGUCAAUAUUAUAUUAAGAUUGAACAUUAAUUAGAGUUUUCGAGACUAGUGCAUAUUAUGUUCCUUCUUUUAUGAAAGAAAAUGGUUUUUCUGAGGUAUGAGGGAUGCCUGGAACUAACAUACAGAUACUUGUCAUAUGAUAUGUACACUGAACUAAUUCACAAGAAAAUUUCAUAUAGAAAUAUCACUUAUGUCUAUGGAAAGGCUUUCGUGAUAGUUAUUUGAGUGAUCUUUAGACUUGAGAUGAUUAAGUUAUAUUAUAUAGAGAGUGUUUUGCUUUGAUCAUAACCACACGUUAUCCUAAUCAAGGAUAAUAAACAAGCAGAUAUUGAGUAUAACAUAAAAUAUAUGAAGGUAUUUGAGUAAUCAAGAGAUGAUUCAUCACUCUAUGUGAAUUAGGAAAAAUAUUUCAUAUGUUCUCAAAUAGUAUUGAUUGUGAAAUCUUUAACCAAGAUGGAAUGAGUUUUGAAUAGAAUUUCAAAAUAUUUUUCAAAGAAUCAAUGACUAUAAUGUUGAGAACUAAAAUGAUUUAACAAAACAGGUAUAUUCCAUGUUAUAAUGUUUAAAUUGAAACAUUCAUGAUGAAUGAAUAAUAAUUAUACCAAAAAACUAGUUACUAAAAUAUUAAGUUAAACCACUUAUGACUUUUUCAAUAUUUAGAGGAUCAUAACAUAUUGCUAGAUAUUGUACUUGAUCUUUAAAUAUAAAUCAAUAAAUUAUUGAAUUGAUAGAAAAUGAAAUCAUUUAACUUAUUUAAUCUUAUUUUAUUUAGGAUUAUGAUUUAUAUUUGGGUCAAUUUAUUAGGGAACCUAAUGGGUCACACUCAUAAGAACCAUUAGUCAAAAAUUAAAAUGGGAUAAUUAAUCAAGUAUGGCUUGAUCGUAAAUAAAUUUUAGAAAUUAAGGACUAUAAUAUAAUUAAUAUAUGGUAUUACAAUUCUAGACCUAAAAAGAAUCAAGUAGGGACUUGAUUGAAUAAAUUUCUAAAAUUAAUCUAAAAUAUUAUAUGUGAUAUUAUUUUUUAAAAAAAUUAAUAUUUUAUUAUUUAUAUGAUUGAAUAAAUUUUUAAAAUUAACCUAAAAUAUUAAAUGCUGACAUAUGCUGACGAAGAGAUGCGGGCAAAUGAUUUGAGAUUGGGGAGAGUUCAUCAUUCAUCGUUUUGGAAUGGCAGGUGAUGAACGUUGACUUGUUGUUGUGCUUUUGCUACCUAAUGUUUUUCGCUGUAGAAUACAAUGAUGUGGCAUCUCUGUCAUGAUGCUUUGCUGUCCUCUUCAGGUCCUGGAAGAUGUAGCAAUUGAGUGCACAAAUUUGUCAAUCAAUUCCCUAGUUAAUUAGCAGAAUCGAAGCACGAUUAAAAGAAAUACUGUUUGUAUUCAAAAUAAUUGUACUAGACUGGUGUACAUUUUGUGUAUAUGGCUACCGUUAUUUUGAUUGCUCAAAGGAAUAGCUUGCAACCCUCUUGGAAAUGGUAGCUGAGAACAAACCAGUUCCAAUCCUUUGAAGCAUUCUAAUUCCAGUGGGUUUCCUAGCUAAAGCUCUUGAUAAAGGGACAGAUGCGAUCAAAGACAGGGACUAGCAUAACGAUUGUCAGGCUUGUGAAGGACAGAAGCGUAGCAGUUGGUAUUAUGAAGCCUGAUGCAAUUGUUCUAUCCUUACUAGCUCCUUGCAUGGUGAAAAAUGUCGAGUAUUGUGCAUCUACAAUGGCAUAUAGUAGAUUUGUAGCCCUUAUAGGAAUAAACCCUUGGCACUGCCUUCGCUUCUUGAUCUUCAUCAAUACUGCAUACCCCGUCUUCUCCAAAGCAAAUAUCCAGCGCAAGAAAGGCUUUGUUGAGGAACCUGUAACAUUGGAGGAUCCAAAUUUCCAGGUCAAGGAACUUCUUUAGCUAUAGACAACAUUAAAGUUCCAGUUGUUCGCAUAGAGUUUCUCUUACUUGAGUUGGUCACAGCCUUCAUGGGCCAAGGUUCUAUGAUCAGCUUCCAUGGCCUGCAUAUUCCUCGAUCGUUGCUGCAACGAAAACCUGACCAAUUCUAGUAAAGAAGCAAUUUCCUUCUUUGGUCUAAUAACUAUAAGUUUGAGGUCCAAACAAGAAGAGAACCAAUGCAAGAACCAUCAUGAAACAGGGAAUCCAAAUCCAAGAAAUCAGCUAAUGUAAUCUUGGAUGUAGAAUAAGAUUGAAAGUGUUAAGAUAAUG